AAUAAGCGGAGGAAAAGAAACUAACAAGGAUUCCCCUAGUAACUGCGAGUGAAGCGGGAAAAGCUCAAAUUUAAAAUCUGGCGGUCUUUGGCCGUCCGAGUUGUAAUCUAGAGAAGUAAUGCCCGUGCUGGACCGUGUAUAAGUCUCCUGGGAUGGGGCGUCAUAGAGGGUGAGAAUCCCGUCUUUGACACGGACUACCAGUGCAUUGUGGUAUGCUCUCAAAGAGUCGAGUUGUUUGGGAAUGCAGCUCAAAAUGGGUGGUAAAUUCCAUCUAAAGCUAAAUAUUGGCGAGAGACCGAUAGCGAACAAGUACCGUGAGGGAAAGAUGAAAAGAACUUUGGAAAGAGAGUUAAACAGUACGUGAAAUUGCUGAAAGGGAAACGCUUGAAGUCAGUCGCGUUGGCCAGGGAUCAGCCUUGCUUUUGCAUGGUGUACUUUCUGGUUGACGGGUCAGCAUCAAUUUUGACCGCUGGAAAAGGGCCUGGGGAAUGUGGCAGCUUCGGCUGUGUUAUAGCCCCUGGUCGCAUACAGUGGUUGGGAUUGAGGAACUCAGCACGCCGCAAGGCCGGGUUUCGACCACGUUCGUGCUUAGGAUGCUGGCAUAAUGGCUUUAAGCGACCCGUCUUGAAACACGGACCAAGGAGUCUAACAUGCCUGCGAGUAUUUGGGUGGAAAACCCGAGUGCGCAAUGAAAGUGAAAGUUGAGAUCCCUGUCGUGGGGAGCAUCGACGCCCGGACCAGAACUUUUGGGACGGAUCCGCGGUGGAGCAUGUAUGUUGGGACCCGAAAGAUGGUGAACUAUGCCUGAAUAGGGUGAAGCCAGAGGAAACUCUGGUGGAGGCUCGUAGCGAUUCUGACGUGCAAAUCGAUCGUCAAAUUUGGGUAUAGGGGCGAAAGACUAAUCGAACCAUCUAGUAGCUGGUCCUG
rnacentral:rRNA from 1 species